rnacentral:rRNA from 1 species
UACGUAGGUCGCAAGCGUUGUCCGGAUUUAUUGGGCGUAAAGAGCUCGUAGGCGGCUUGUCGCGUCGUCCGUGAAAACUUGGGGCUCAACCCCAAGCUUGCGGUCGAUACGGGCAGGCUAGAGUUCGGUAGGGGAGACUGGAAUUCCUGGUGUAGCGGUGAAAUGCGCAGAUAUCAGGAGGAACACCGGUGGCGAAGGCGGGUCUCUGGGCCGAUACUGACGCUGAGGAGCGAAAGCGUGGGGAGCGAACAGG